CUCAGAACAAACGCUGGCGGCGUGCCUAACACAUGCAAGUCGUACGAGAAAGUCCGCUUCGGUGGAUGAGUAAAGUGGCGCACGGGUGAGUAACGCGUGGAUAAUCUACCCUUUAGUCUGGAAUAACUUAUCGAAAGGUGAACUAAUACCGGAUAAUAUCCCGAUUUCUUCGGCGAUCGGGAUCAAAGAAGGCCUCUGCUUGCAAGCUUUCACUGAAGGAUGAGUCCGCGUACCAUUAGCUAGUUGGCAGGGUAAUGGCCUACCAAGGUUAUGAUGGUUAGCUGGUCUGAGAGGAUGAUCAGCCACACUGGAACUGAAACACGGUCCAGACUCCUACGGGAGGCAGCAGUGAGGAAUAUUGCGCAAUGGGGGCAACCCUGACGCAGCAACGCCGCGUGAGUGAGGAAGGUUUUCGGAUUGUAAAGCUCUGUCGAGCGGAAAGAGGUGCAUGGUGGUUAAUAUCCAUCAUGCUUGACGGUACCGCUAAAGGAAGCACCGGCUAACUCCGUGCCAGCAGCCGCGGUAAUACGGGGGGUGCAAGCGUUGUUCGGAAUCAUUGGGCGUAAAGCGCGUGUAGGCGGCUGGACAAGUCAGAUGUGAAAGCCCUGGGCUUAACCCAGGAAGUGCAUUUGAAACUGUUCAGCCAGAGUAAGGGAGAGGAAAGUGGAAUUCCUGGUGUAGAGGUGAAAUUCGUAGAUAUCAGGAGGAACACCGGUGGCGAAGGCGACUUUCUGGCCCUAUACUGACGCUGAGACGCGAAAGCGUGGGUAGCAAACAGGAUUAGAUACCCUGGUAGUCCACGCUGUAAACGAUGUUCACUAGGUGUUGGGGGUAUUGACCCUUCCAGUGCCGCAGCUAACG
rnacentral:rRNA from 1 species